GGAUGUGAGGAUAAUCUGGCUGUAACAUCUGUUACCCCACUGAUUACCAGUCUUGACUGAAUUGAUCUGGCUGGCAUGUGUCUCUUCCUCCUUCACCACUCCAUGUGUAUCCCUCCUGAAGCUACGCACUCAUUCAAAGAUGAAGUCCUUCUGCAACAGAGGAGGACUGUUCUUCAGUCAAGGGUGUAUGAGUUUGCACUCCCAUGCUAGAACCUCCCAUCAAGGUCUCAGGGUCCAUUUUUUUUAGGAGAAUAUAGAUCAGUCAAGCUUCCAAGACUCCAGACACAUCCAAAUGAAGUGCAUCAUGUGGCAGUCUGCUUUUCUUU
rnacentral:snRNA from 1 species